UCAAGAUGAUUUCGGAAAAGUCUGCACAGCAGGCUUAUCAGAUCGUCGGCUCGUCGUUCAGCGGAUGGUUUCAGUUCCAGUCGCUCUACGCGCGCAUUCUGAAAGAGCAGCCGGNNNNNNNNNCUCGACUAGGAGCAUCGCGGCCGCUCCUACGUGGGGCGACCGCGGAUCAAAUUCUUAAAUGCCAGGAGGAAUUCAUGAACCGGCACGUCAAACCAAAGCUGUCGCAGAG
rnacentral:misc_RNA from 1 species